rnacentral:rRNA from 1 species
AGAGUUUGAUCAUGGCUCAGGACGAACGCUGGCGGCGCGCCUAACACAUGCAAGUCGAACGAGAGAUGAGGAGCUUGCUCUUCAAAUCGAGUGGCGAACGGGUGAGUAACGCGUGAGGAACCUGCCUCAAAGAGGGGGACAACAGUUGGAAACGACUGCUAAUACCGCAUAAGCCCACGGCUCGGCAUCGAGCAGAGGGAAAAGGAGCAAUCCGCUUUGAGAUGGCCUCGCGUCCGAUUAGCUAGUUGGUGAGGUAACGGCCCACCAAGGCGACGAUCGGUAGCCGGACUGAGAGGUUGAACGGCCACAUUGGGACUGAGACACGGCCCAGACUCCUACGGGAGGCAGCAGUGGGGAAUAUUGCACAAUGGGGGAAACCCUGAUGCAGCGACGCCGCGUGGAGGAAGAAGGUCUUCGGAUUGUAAACUCCUGUUGUUGAGGAAGAUAAUGACGGUACUCAACAAGGAAGUGACGGCUAACUACGUGCCAGCAGCCGCGGUAAAACGUAGGUCACAAGCGUUGUCCGGAAUUACUGGGUGUAAAGGGAGCGCAGGCGGGAGAACAAGUUGGAAGUGAAAUCCAUGGGCUCAACCCAUGAACUGCUUUCAAAACUGUUUUUCUUGAGUAGUGCAGAGGUAGGCGGAAUUCCCGGUGUAGCGGUGGAAUGCGUAGAUAUCGGGAGGAACACCAGUGGCGAAGGCGGCCUACUGGGCACCAACUGACGCUGAGGCUCGAAAGUGUGGGUAGCAAACAGGAUUAGAUACCCUGGUAGUCCGCACGGUAAACGAUGGAUGCCCGCUGUUGGUCUGAACAGGUCAGCGGCCAAGCGAAAGCAUUAAGCAUCCCACCUGGGGAGUACGCCGGCAACGGUGAAACUCAAAGGAAUUGACGGGGGCCCGCACAAGCGGAGGAACAUGUGGUUUAAUUCGAUGAUACGCGAGGAACCUUACCCGGGCUUGAAUUGCAGAGGAAGGAUUUGGAGACAAUGACGCCCUUCGGGGUCUCUGUGAAGGUGCUGCAUGGUUGUCGUCAGCUCGUGCCGUGAGGUGUCGGCUUAAGUGCCAUAACGAGCGCAACCCCUCUCCUUAGUUGCCAUCAGGUUAAGCUGGGCACUCUGGGGACACUGCCACCGUAAGGUGUGAGGAAGGUGGGGAUGACGUCAAAUCAGCACGGCCCUUACGUCCGGGGCUACACACGUGUUACAAUGGCAGGUACAGAGAGACGGUUGUACGUAAGUACGAUCAAAUCCUUAAAGCCUGUCUCAGUUCGGACUGGGGUCUGCAACCCGACCCCACGAAGCUGGAUUCGCUAGUAAUCGCGCAUCAGCCAUGGCGCGGUGAAUACGUUCCCGGGCCUUGUACACACCGCCCGUCAAGCCAUGAAAGCCGGGGGCGCCUAAAGUCCGUGACCGUAAGGAGCGGCCUAGGGCGAAACUGGUAAUUGGGGCUAAGUCGUAACAAGGU